UGGGGAAUUUUGGACAAUGGGGGAAACCCUGAUCCAGCCAUCCCGCGUGUGCGAUGAAGGCCUUCGGGUUGUAAAGCACUUUUGGCAGGAAAGAAACGUCAUGGGUUAAUACCCCGUGAAACUGACGGUACCUGCAGAAUAAGCACCGGCUAACUACGUGCCAGCAGCCGCGGUAAUACGUAGGGUGCAAGCGUUAAUCGGAAUUACUGGGCGUAAAGCGUGCGCAGGCGGUUCGGAAAGAAAGAUGUGAAAUCCCAGAGCUCAACUUUGGAACUGCAUUUUUAACUACCGGGCUAGAGUGUGUCAGAGGGAGGUGGAAUUCCGCGUGUAGCAGUGAAAUGCGUAGAUAUGCGGAGGAACACCGAUGGCGAAGGCAGCCUCCUGGGAUAACACUGACGCUCAUGCACGCAAGCGUGGGGAGCAAACAGG
rnacentral:rRNA from 1 species